rnacentral:tRNA from 2 species
GGGCUCGUGGUUUAGUGGUAUAAUACUCCCUUAGCAUCUCGCUAGCACACAGUGCUUCGAAUUCUAUCCUGGGAGUGGUCCGGGGUUCGAUUCCCCGCGAGUCCA